UGCAAGUCGAACGGCACCCCUCUCCGGAGGGAAGCGAGUGGCGAACGGUUGAGUAACACGUGGAGAACCUGCCCCCUCCCCCGGGAUAGCCGCCCGAAAGGACGGGUAAUACCGGAUACCCCCGGGCGCCGCAUGGCGCCCGGGCUAAAGCCCCGACGGGAGGGGAUGGCUCCGCGGCCCAUCAGGUAGACGGCGGGGUGACGGCCCACCGUGCCGACAACGGGUAGCCGGGUUGAGAGACCGACCGGCCAGAUUGGGACUGAGACACGGCCCAGACUCCUACGGGAGGCAGCAUG
rnacentral:rRNA from 1 species